GAGGGCGAAAAAAUCGACCGCGCGCCGCUGCUAACAAAGCCGACGUAGUAGCAUCACUUUCGGGAUUCGUUCGUUAGUUCCAACAUUUCCCGGUAGAGGCGUCGUAAUAAGCGCAAUUUUAUUUUACAAACUUUCUCUUACAAUUACCGAAGCAUUUUCUUUUACAUAAAAACAGCGCAAAAUUAUCAUUGCUAAUUAGAUAUUGUGCUCUUUGUUAGUAAGUUUAUUGUUUCUUCGCCAUUAUAAACGCAAAUAGCGUUCAGCAUCAUCGAUCUUUCACGUGACCUCUGGCCUGGAUUUAAAAUUUUUACCGGUAUUUCCGAGUGCACGGCGGCACGGAUUCAUUCGUUCGUACACUCAAGACUGCUUUGUUUCUAAAACUAGUUUCUUGCGCUUCGAUGUCUCGCGUUAUUUAACUUGGGGUGAAGUUACGUGUUUGCAAGCGGACAUGUAAGCCCGGCAGUUGGGUUUCGGUCGUGAGCCAUUCGGAACAGGUCUGCAUCGAAACGGGAGCUGGAUUUUGCUGCGGCUGACAACGGCAAUAACGACAUGCAGUAAUGAAGACGGCACCAGUAUAAAGCAACACACUCCACGCACUAAACAGAAGCUGCUGCCUGCUACAACAAGGUCAUUGUGUGGACAUUGGCUACUACUACAAGAGUCUAUGCCAAGCGCAUCUUGGUCAUCACAGGAGCUCCUAUCUGCGCCAACAGGAAGGGGCUGGAGCCGAAUUUGCAAGGCUUUUACACCAAGAACAAAGAAGCACAUGCAGAAGAAUAUGAAUGAGAUAUCAAGUCUGCAGAGGACUGUGUCAAGGCUGAAAAGAGCUUCAGCCACCAUUCCACCAGCACGGACAUUUGGUUGAGUCAUCCAGGUAACUCAAAAAGGACUUUCUAGAAAUUCUUCGUCUUCAGGUGCACCUGCAACAUCUGACCAAGCACGGACGACGCUGGCCAAAAGAUUGAGUUCCAUCAGUUUGCCCUUAAUCCGCUUCCUAGCCAUGUUAAUUCCGUUUGUGCCAAGUGUAAUUUUUCUUCUAUAAAUGCAAGCUUUCUCAUUGCCCAUUUUUGUUAGAGGUCAUUCAUCCUCAUCCAAAUAUAAAGGUCAACCGAUUCUUCGCUGAUACUUAA